rnacentral:lncRNA from 1 species
UAUUUGUUAUCUGUAUUUGAAUGGCCAUCUGACCAUACUGUCAUGUGUCCCUGCUUGUCUCCUCUAGCUCGGGCAUGCCUCUCCAUGCCUCAGUGUCAGUGUGAGCCACAGCCACACUCUGUGGGGUCCUGGGGGUACUGGGGACCAGUCCGGCAGAGGACCAGCCAACCAGCAGGGAAGGCAGUGUGAAGACUGUGAGAUGUGUUUCUGGUGUAGGGAGGUCCAACAGAAUCCUCAUAACACCAGGUGUCUGGUCCUGGUGGAUGUGCUGACCAGCAACACCUCAGUGCUCCAGGAGCUCAUCCAGGUGCCACGGCAGCUAGGAGAGGUGGCCGCCUUCGGAGGGAGCAACGUGGAGCCCAGCGUGGCCAGCUGCUUUCGCAUGGCUCCUGGGAAAACCUCCAUCCAGCUCCAACUUCCUGAAGUGGAUGAGCCUGGAGCUCCAGUCCGUGGUGUGGCUGUCUGUGCUACAGCGAGAGGUCCAGGCAGAGAACGCUCAACACCAGGCCAAGUGCUCCAUCUGGAAACAGCUUCCCAUCAAGAGCUUUAGGUGAGCCACAGGGCCUCGACAGGUGAACGCUAUUUCAACCAAAUAGGGAAUGUCAAAUCUGCUUCCUGUCCUGGCGUACUACCAAGGGCAAGGCUUUAAUUUACCCCAUCAUUGAGUACUACAGUACACCCCAGUAAAAAGCGUAAAUCAUAGUCCAGACGCUGAGAUACGAUAGUCUCGUGUCCCAUCUGAGACCACCAAAGUGGGGGAUGUACAUCCACACAAUUCCUAGCCAACGCAUCACCGGUACGUGUCCUCUAUUCAUUUGAAUGUGUUGACAGUUGGUGAAAUUGCUUGAGCUGUGCUGAGAAUUCGAAAAGUAUGAAAGACAACGGUCCAAUGUUGUAGAACACUGCUGUGCAUACGCAUACACAUUCUGGACUCUGAUAAACCCAUAAGAAUAAUUUCAUUAAGCCAUCAGUUUUUUUUAUGUCACUCUCAGCCCAUCCCAGCCACUCUCAGCCCAUCCCACCUAUCACCAUAGAUCACCCUCGUGACCUUUCUAACCUUUCAAAUCAUAUAUUUCUUAUUUUUAUUUAACCUUUAUUUAACUAGGCAAGUCAGCUAAGAACAAAUUCUUAUUUACAAUGACGGCCUACCAAAAGGCAAAAGGCCUCCUGCAGGGACGGGGGCUGGGAUUAAAAAUAAAAUAAAUAUAGGACAAAACACACAUCACGACAAGAGAGACAACACAACACUACAUAAAGAGAGACCUAAGACAACAGCAUAGCAUGGCAGCAACACAUGACAACACAGCAUGGUAGCAGCACAACAUGGCAGCAGAACAACAUGGUAGCAGCACAAAACAUGGUAUGAACAUUAUUGGGCACAGACAACAGCAUAAAGGACAAGAAGAUAGAGACAACAAUACAUCACGCAAAGCAACCACAACUGUCAGUAAGUGUGUCCAUGAUUGAGUCUUUGAAUGAAGAGAUUAAGAUAAAACUGUCCCGUUUGAGUGUUUGUUGCAGCUCGUUCCAGUCACUAGCUGCAGCAAACUGAAAAGACAAGCGACUCAGGGAUGUGUGUGCUUUAGUAUCCACAGAUUGUGAGCUUAAGAUGAAAACCUUUCCUACGAGUAUUAUUAUUUUAUUUAUUGACUGACAAUGGCUUUCUAAAUCGCCCAACACUUCUAUUUGUAAGGUUCAUUUUAAGUGAAUAUUGUGAUUUUUUUACCAGAAUAAAUGGGCUCCCGGGUGGCAUAGUGGUCUAAGGCACUGCAUCUCAGUGCUUGAGGCGUCACCACAGACACCCUGGUUUGAUUUCAGGCUGUAUCACAACCGGCCGUGAUUGGGAGUCCUGUAGGGCAGCGCACAAUUGGCCCAGCGUCGUCCGGGUUUGGCCGGUGUAGGCUGUCAUUGUAAAUAACAAUUUGUUCUUAACUGACUUGCCUAGUUAAAAAUUAUUUAUUUGAAAUUAAAAAAUGUAUUUAAUGUAAAAUUAAUCUAGGGAUUCUAUCUAUUCUCAGCAAAAUCUAGAGCUGAGAUUGUUGUAUGCCCCAUGUAUGGCGGAAAUAAUUUUGUAUAAUUUAAAUUGAAAAACCUGAAAUGUUGAAUCAAGUGUUGUUUUUUUGUACCAGUUCAUAAACCAUGUGCCAUGGAA